ensembl:lncRNA
GAGGAGUGUCGGUCCCCCUUCAGCCACUGCUGGCAAGGAACAUUCCACUUGCUGUGGCUGCUCUGUGUUGAUUCAGCCGAUCCCUCCUGGCAAGCACAGUGCCUCCAUACCAUUCUCUGUAGAGACACCCAGACAUAAGCAGCCUGUUUGAAGGGCCGAGAAGACCUAUGGUAGAAUAACUUUCUCUCCCAGGAUGGAUUUUCCACAUGUUAUCCACGUGUAUCCAGGUCUCUGGAGUGGAAUAAUCACAGCCUUUGCUUGAAGAAUUCCCUGCCUGUCAGACCCCGAAGGCUCAAGUCUGUGGACAGAAGAUGUGUGAAUACUGAGCUAAAACAGAGUAUAGGCAAGAGUUUUGUCUGUUCACCACUGGGAUUUAAGAACUUAAAGGCCAAGAACUGGCCUCAAAAGCAAAGGAGUGGUGAUCAUUUUGUAAUGUAUAAAAA